CGUAGGGGCAAGCGUUGUCCGGAUUUAUUGGGCGUAAAGGGCGCGUAGGCGGCCCCUUAAGUCAGUUGUGAAAGGUCCCGGCUCAACCGGGGAGUUGCAGCUGAAACUGGGAGGCUUGAGUGCAGGAGAGGAGAGCGGAAUUCUCGGUGUAGCGGUGGAAUGCGUAGAGAUCGGGAGGAACACCAGUGGACGAAGGCGGCUCUCGUGGCCUGUUACUGACGCUGAGGCGCGAAAGCGUGGGGAGCGAACAGGAUU
rnacentral:rRNA from 1 species